rnacentral:misc_RNA from 1 species
GAUGAAGAACGUAGCGAAAUGCGAUAAGUAAUGUGAAUUGCAGAAUUCAGUGAAUCAUCGAAUCUUUGAACGCACAUUGCGCCCGCCAGUAUUCUGGCGGGCAUGCCUGUUCGAGCGUCAUUACAACCCUCAGGCCCCCGGGCCUGGCGUUGGGGAUCGGCGGAAGCCCCCUGCGGGCACAACGCCGUCCCCCAAAUACAGUGGCGGUCCGCCGCAGCUUCCAUUGCGUAGUAGCUAACACCUCGCAACUGGAGAGCGGCGCGGCCACGCCGUAAAACACCCAACUUCUGAAUGUUGACCUCGAAUCAGGUAGGAAUACCCGCUGAACUUAAGCAUAUCAAUAAGCGGAGGA